CCUACGGGAGUCUGCAGUGAGGAAUAUUGGUCAAUGGCCGCAGGGCUGAACCAGCCAAGUCGCGUGAGGGAUGACGGUCCUAUGGAUUGUAAACCUCUUUUGUCAGGGAGCAAAGGGCGCCACGUGUGGCGCUUUGCGAGUACCUGAAGAAAAAGCAUCGGCUAACUCCGUGCCAGCAGCCGCAGUAAUACGGAGGAUGCGAGCGUUAUCCGGAUUUAUUGGGUUUAAAGGGUGCGCAGGCGGAAUGUCAAGUCAGCGGUAAAAUUUCGGGGCUCAACCCCGUCGUGCCGUUGAAACUGGCGUUCUUGAGUGAGCGAGAAGUAUGCGGAAUGCGUGGUGUAGCGGUGAAAUGCAUAGAUAUCACGCAGAACUCCGAUUGCGAAGGCAGCAUACCGGCGCUCAACUGACGCUCAUGCACGAAAGCGUGGGUAUCGAACAGGAUUAGAUACCCUUGUAGUC
rnacentral:rRNA from 1 species